UACGGAGGAUGCAAGCGUUAUCCGGAUUUAUUGGGUUUAAAGGGUGCGUAGGCGGAUAUGUAAGUCAGCGGUGAAACUCACAGGCUCAACCUGUGCCGUGCCGUUGAAACUGUGUAUCUGGAAUGCGGAUGCUGUGGGAGGAAUGUGUAGUGUAGCGGUGAAAUGCAUAGAUAUUACACAGAACACCGAUUGCGAAGGCAUCUCACAAAGCCGUUAUUAACGCUGAGGCACGAAAGUGUGGGGAUCAAACAGGA
rnacentral:rRNA from 1 species